CCACGCUGAUGCGAUUUCGGUCAAAUCAUGUGGCAUUCGAGUGGCGGACGGGUGAGUAACGCGUGGGUAACCUGCCUUACACAGGGGGAUAACACCUGGAAACAGGUGCUAAUACCGCAUAAGCGCACAGGGCCGCAUGGCCCGGUGUGAAAAACUCCGGUGGUGUAAGAUGGACCCGCGUCUGAUUAGCUUGUUGGCGGGGUAGGGGCCCACCAAGGCGACGAUCAGUAGCCGGCCUGAGAGGGUGGACGGCCACAUUGGGACUGAGACACGGCCCAAACUCCUACGGGAGGCAGCAGUGGGGGAUAUUGGACAAUGGGGGAAACCCUGAUCCAGCGACGCCGCGUGAGUGAAGAAGUAUUUCGGUAUGUAAAGCUCUGUCAGCAGGGAAGAAAGAAAUGACGGUACCUGACCAAGAAGCCCCGGCUAACUACGUGCCAGCAGCCGCGGUAAUACGUAGGGGGCAAGCGUUAUCCGGAAUUACUGGGUGUAAAGGGAGCGUAGACGGUGAUGCAAGUCUGGAGUGAAAGGCGGGGGCCCAACCCCCGGACUGCUCUGGAAACUGUGUAACUUGAGUGCAGGAGAGGUAAGCGGAAUUCCUAGUGUAGCGGUGAAAUGCGUAGAUAUUAGGAGGAACACCAGUGGCGAAGGCGGCUUACUGGACUGUAACUGACGUUGAGGCUCGAAAGCGUGGGGAGCAAACAGGAUUAGAUACCCUGGUAGUCCACGCCGUAAACGAUGAUUACUAGGUGUCGGUGGGUAUGGACCCACCGGUGCCGCAGCAAACGCAGUAAGUAAUCCACCUGGGGAGUACGUUCGCAAGAAUGAAACUC
rnacentral:rRNA from 1 species